rnacentral:lncRNA from 1 species
UGCUUGUGUUUUUAUUACAGAAUGCUAAAAUGCGGUGAAAAGACAACAACAAUAAAACGUCUUUAUCCCAAAACUAGCUUUGCUCAGCUAAUUUUCUAGUAUAUGCUCUGAAAAAAAAUGAAAACAAUUUGAGAAUGCAGAAAUUCAAAUACCUGAGAAAGUCCUUUCUCAGUGGCGAGCAAAUUAGGGCAUUUUUCAAGUCCUAAUUCCAAAUUCAGAAGUACUCCAACUCUUUUUUAAU